CCUACGGGUGGCAGCAGUGGGGAAUAUUUGGCAAUGGGCGCAAGCCUGACCCAGCAACGCCGCGUGAAGGAAGAAGGCUUUCGGGUUGUAAACUUCUUUUAAGAGGGAAGAGCAGAAGACGGUACCUCUUGAAUAAGCCACGGCUAACUACGUGCCAGCAGCCGCGGUAAUACGUAGGUGGCAAGCGGUGUCCGGAUUUACUGGGGGUAAAGGGCGUGUAGCCGGGCUGACAAGUCAGAUGUGAAAUCCGGGGGCUCAACCCUCGAACUGCAUUUGAAACUGUUGGUCUUGAGUAUCGGAGAGGCAGGCGGAAUUCCUAGUGUAGCGGUGAAAUGCGUAGAUAUUAGGAGGAACACCAGUGGCGAAGGCGACCUGCUGGACGACAACUGACGGUGAGGCGCGAAAGCGUGGGGAGCAAACAGGAUUAGAUACCCGAGUAGUC
rnacentral:rRNA from 1 species